AGAGGAUUUUUUUGCUAUGACCGGCAUGCCUGGUCAGGAACAGUGGUACUAUUAGAUGUCGUAACCAUUUUAAUACUUGUAAGAGAGAUUCCACUCCAUACUUGAAGCAUUCAACUGGUCCAUCAUGCUAUAUCUCUACUACUCCUUAAGAGUAUAGUGUAGGCGUCCACAAUUCACCUGGUGCACGGUUCUGCCUGUGCCGCGGAUGGAAGGUUGUGCAUGGCCCGCUCGACCACACCCAUGCCCCACCCUGCGCAUGCCCGCCAGAAUCGCCGCAGGCACUCUCUACCCCGACGCCCGCCACCCGAACCCUAGAAGCCCCACCCGCUUCCUUGUCGCCCCCAAACGCAGCGGAUCCGGUCGCGGUCACAGCGGGCGGAUCCGGUCGGAGAUCCUUGCUUAACCAAACCAAAUCCAAAAAACGAACUUUUUAGCAUGAUCUCUCAGAAUUGAGCAACAGAAAGCUGAUGAACGAACACUACAACUUCCUGAGAAACACAAGAAAUAUGAGGAUGCUUUGAACAAAAUCCUGCGGUUAGAAAGGUAGGUGGAUGAAAAGCAAAAGUUGGAGUGAUACUGAGCGACUUAAACGCAAACUGGGGGUGGUGAAACACAUGGAAGGAGAGGGUGUUGAUGUGAAUAAACAUUUUGUGGAGCUGACGACAGAAUUGAAUGAAAGAAUUGAAGAGAUGGCAGACCUGGAAGCUCUCAAUCAAACCCUCAAUAAGUAUCUGCGUCCACUUUGUUUUAGGAGCAAGGUGUAAUUAUCUGUAUUUUCCUUUUGGUAUAACACAUCAAUCUUUUCUUUUAUUCGAUUUAUGGCAGAUCAUAAUGCCUAGAGAGAACUUGCUGAAACAUAUGUUUCCUUACAAAUGUAAGGUGUUCAAUAUCAAUCCACUCUAGAUAUGGAUCUCAUAUUACAAAACU